GACAGCAGGUAUGGCCUUCCGCGCUGAGGGCCUCCAUCACCCCUCAUGGGGGAGCUGAAAAUGAUGGCAAGGAUCAAAGCACGGAGGCUUACUUCACCUUCCUAAUGGAAGGGGCUUCAGAGGCUCAACACAGUUCUUGGCCCUAAACCCUCUUCGGCAUCCCUGUGGGAGAGUGAGGUCAACUAGCCUCUGCUUGGACCACUCCCAGACAGGAAGCUCACUACUUCCUGGAGCAGGUUAGCUCGGACUAUGAGAAAGUACCCUCCACCUGACUCCUAGUCAAGAUCCCUCCUGGAAGUGGGCCCAUUGGCUGCUCCCUUGCUCCGAGCGCUGACGGAUCUCCCUGCAGCCCCCUCACCUGGCUCCCGCUGAGGCUGGGACUGCCCUGUGGGCCGGCAGGAGGGAACCGUCCUCUCUCCCCGCCCGCCCCCCCCUCCCCCCGAGGCAGGAGAGGAGCCUGCGAGCCCUUGCCUGGACCUCAUGGGAGGAGGGACGAGAGUUCUGGGACAGGCCAGCAGAAGAUUCACUGGUCUGGGAAUGAGAACACCUGAGUCUGCACCACAUCGAGUCUACCAGUACUUGCUAUGUCAUUUUGGUAAUCUCUCCACCCGACGCAGACCUCGAACUCACGACCCCGACAUCAAGAGUCACACGCUCCACCGAGCGAGCCAGGCAGGCGCCCGUAAUUUGGGAUCUUGCUCCGGACGCCGAGACUGUAUUAAGAUGAAAAAUAAAGCCCGAGGUGCCAGGCUGGAAGGGCUUCUUUCUCAUGAAGUCCUACUUAACCCAGAAGAAGCAAGUACUCCUGAUUUGUUCUGGGAGACCAUCCUGGCUCCCGCUUGGAUUGGGUCUGGUGCUGCUCUCUUGGACUGCCACAGUCCUGUGUGCUCUACUGAGGACCUCCGCGCUGGACGGUCAUCGUCUGUCCACACCCAUGUUCCUGCCAGACUGGGGGCUUCUCUGAGGCAGGGGCUGUGUCCUGCUCCAGUCCACCCCCCGCCAAGGCGGGUCCGAUGAAUCUCUGUUUGAUGCGGAAGUUGAGGUCAUAUUCAAGGUCACCCAGGCAGAGCAAGCAUAGGACCCGUGGUCACCUGACACGCUGCACAGGGCUCUUCCACAGCCUUUCCCCUUGAUCUCGAAGAUCCUUCCUCCCUCCCUCCUUCCUUCUCUUUCUUGCAAACCUGGCUUCAGAGCGCCAAGAUUUGGGAGGCUGAAAUGAACUCAGACACUUGGGAUCAAGGGAGCUGGGAGCUGGGAGCUCCCAUGCUCUCCACGGGGCCUCCUGGGCCCAAGUCGUGCGCAGACGUCACACCUCCGACCACGUCAGUCACGUUCCCUGACCUCUCCCUGAGCUCAGCCCUGCUGAUGUGAGCAGCUGGACCCUUGGGGGUCCCUUGGGGAAAGAGGCAAACUGGGACAUGGGAAGACAAAUGAGAUGAUGAGGGGGAAGGCCAUCCUACAAAAGUAUGGCCCACAAGCUUGCGGCUUGGGGAAGCUGCCUGCUUUCUUGAUCAGACUGUCCUCCGUGGACGUCCUUGGGUGCUCUGAUGGCCCCCAAGCUAUUCCCUGAAGUAUGGGGACCAUGCAGAGGGGACAGAAUCUGGUAAGUUCUUUCCGUGUCCAGGAUGUUGUUCAUGCAGGAACCAGGGCAGUGGGUGAACACAGAGGGGGAAACUUGGUACGCAGACAUAAAAUCACAUACAAGAUGUCAUCGAGUGAGGGCAUCACUUGGUGGAGUUGGGACUAAAGCCCAGGUCGCCCUGUCCUUUCAAGACACCCAUGCUCUACUUUUUUUUAAAUUUAAUUAAUUUAUAGCUCCAGAGCCGGGGGAAGGGGCAGAGGGAGAGGGAGAGAGAGAAUCCUCAAACUGACUCCUCACUUAGCGCAGAGCCUGACACGGGGCUCGAUCCCACAACCCCAAGAUGAUGACCCGAGCCGAAAUCAAGAGCCAGAGGCACAAGUGACUCAGCCCCCCAAGCGCCCCUCAAAAUGCCCACGCUCUUAACUAAGAAGUGAACUGUCUUCAGGAGACGGGAAGUAGGAAUGAGGAUUCCAACUCUGAGAACCUCAGAUGUUUCGGAGAAGCGAGUGAGACGCUAUUUGUCAGAGAAUGUUGACAGCAAUAGAGUGAAGGGGAACAGCAUUAACUUAUGUCUCGGGCCCUGUUCUGGGUGCUUCUCAAACGAUAUUGCGAUAAUAAACAUCGCACUUUGCUGACAAGGAAACAGGCUCAUGGGGGUAAAACCACUCGUACAGGGUCACUGGCCAAUAAUGGCAGCGUUGGAGAGAGACCUUAGUUUGAGCUGAAAGCUGAGUCUUUCCACACGUGGCCUGCCACGCCGCCCAGAGUGCUCAGGUUGUGGGCAAUUACUGUCCUUGAAAAUGGUCUAUCAACUAACCAUUUAAGAAUAUAAACUGCCUUACCCACCUAAAGUAGGUGCACCUGCCCUCCAUCAGAGCCUGGCAUCCUUCCCUUUCUGGAACUUUCCACCUCUCCCUUCCCUCUUGUAUUUGCUUCAUGAAAACACUAAAACCUCAUAAUGAAAUAAAACAACUGGCCUCACGACAAAUAACAGCCCCUUCAACUGGCUUCUUUCUUCUCCAAAUAUUUCUUUAAUAUUGUGUGUUUGAUUUCAAGACAUUUCAACAACCCCCCUCAAUGAUCUUAACACUUUCCCUGAACUAGGAAAAUAAGAAAUAAAACACUCUACUGGGAAGAAAAGGAAAAUUGUAUGUUCUUUUGUUUACACGAGUGUACAGAAAAUCGUUACAAAUCUCCAUGUGGCCUUGGUGAUUUUCCAUUGUGAUAUAGAAGGAGAAAUGGAUAAACUGGAAUUUGCAACCAAUCUCCAGGGAUUUCUUUUCUAUUUGGGUGACCCCUGAAAGGCUUCUGGGCACAUAGCUAUUUUUGAAAGAAAAGAGGAAACGCUGAGGGCUGACCACCAUUAACAAUAGUUCACCCAGAUGCUAACUUAUUCUACUGUUUGCUUGUGUUUAUUUUUACUUAAUCUGAUGUUUUGAUGCAAUUGCUGGCAUUUUGUUUUUGACCUUGAACCGGUAUAAUUUAUCUUGGGCAUGCGCAGAAAGGCAGUGACCAAGGUGCUGCCUAUUUUCUUAAAUUAUGACCCAGCCACGUGACGUCAAUCGAGUGAGGUCAUCUGGGGUGGGGGUGGGGAGGAGGUACUGCUUUGAUCUUAACUGUGUGAUCAUAAUUCACCCCUAGGCUGUCUGGAAUAGGAGCUUGCUUCCUUUCACCCAAGGCUCCCACCCAGAGGCCUUUACGUUUCGGGAAGAUUUUGAGCCAAGUCCUGACCCAGGAAUUCUGGAUGCAAGAUGUGCAGAGUCAGGAUGAAACGGUGCUUUCCUAAAAUUCUGCGCUAUGUAAAUUCUAGGAAUAGUAGACGGAGCACUGGAUUGGGAGUCAGUUCCUGUAGUUCUCCCAUAAGCCCUGGGACGAAGGUUGUUGUUACACCCGUUUUAUAGAUGAAGGUACGGAGGCAUGGAGAGUUGACCUGAUUUGCCCAAGCCAGCACGCAGUGGAGCCCUGGGUUCGGGACAGGCUCCUCCCUCCGGAGGCUGCGAUCCUAAGGACCAAGCACAGUGCAUCUUCAGAUCUGCUGUGUCACCUCGGUCUCUUCCCUCCCUUUCUGGGCCCCGCGUCCUCUUCUCUGAAAUAAGGGGGCUUAGCUGAAUGAUGUCUAGGAUCCUUUCCAACACCAACUACUAAAAUGUUGUGAUUUCCCCCAAAGUCCAGACGGGGAAUUGUGGUCAAGUUUCCUCUUCCCAGAGUAAAGAGUGACAACGGUAUGGAUGAAGAGAAGUAGCAUUUCACAAUUGACUUCUCUGUCCUUAUCUCUGUUCAGUCUGCACCAUAAUUUAACGAGGGAGGCGCUAUUAUUUUACAGAUAUGGGAACUGAAGUUCGGAGAGGGGCUGUGUUAACACAGCUGGGGCUGGUGGAGCCAGGAUUAGCCUCCAUGUUCUCAUAGUACCUUGUUCCUCCCCCCAUCAUCUCGGGAUUAUCUGUGUCCACUCCAGACCAUGGGUUUGGAGCGUCAGGGACCAUGUUCUCUGUAUCUCUAGGAGCCAGCACGGAGUCUGGCCCAAAGCAGAUGGUCCAUAAACAGUGUUGCCCCAAAUAGAUGGUCAAUAAACAGUGUGGAAUAAAUGAAUGAGCCCAACACUCCAGAGCCCGUUUCUCCACUGAGCUAACUGCACAGCUAACCUCCCACUCUGUGGGAGGGAAGAAAGUGGGUUUGGGGAGAGGACCUCAGAAAGAGAUUUCAGUUAUGGGAUCAACAGCUUGGACUGAGUUGCCAGAUGCCCGCCCUCCUUCACGAGCUGGGAAAUGAGCUCAAAGCAGCAAAAUGUUUUGCCGAAAUGUUUUCUCAAUGAACCCUUGGUGAACCAAGACAGUAACCUCAAAUCCUUUCUCCUGCUGUCUGUAUUGUAGUUAGAAAAGCUUACUCUUGAGUUUUACCCUUUUCUUUGUGCUUUUCAGUAUUUUGAAAAUUUUAUAUAAUGAUUUUAAUUUUUUAAAGAUUUUAUUUAUUUGAGAGAGAGGAGUAUGGGGGGGAAGAGAAGAGG